rnacentral:sRNA from 1 species
UUAUAUGGUUAAAUCUGUUGCAAGGAGCACACCACAAGCAAUAUAGAAGACAACAAGGGUGAUCUACAGAAUCAAUUUUGGCUCUCUAUUUGACUUGGAG